rnacentral:rRNA from 1 species
GACGAACGCUGGCGGCGUGCCUAACACAUGCAAGUCGAGCGAGUGGAGUUCUUCGGAACAAAGCUAGCGGCGGACGGGUGAGUAACACGUGGGCAACCUGCCUCAUAGAGGGGAAUAGCCUUCCGAAAGGGAGAUUAAUACCGCAUAAGAUUGUAGCUUCGCAUGAAGUAGCAAUUAAAGGAGCAAUCCGCUAUGAGAUGGGCGCCGCGGCGCAUUAGCUAGUUGGCGAGGUAACGGCUCACCAAGGCGACGAUGCGUAGCCGACCUGAGAGGGUGAUCGGCCACAUUGGGACUGGGACACGGCCCAGACUCCUACGGGAGUCAGCAGUGGGGAAUAUUGCACAAUGGGGGAAACCCUGAUGCAGCAACGCCGCGUGAGUGAUGACGGCCUUCGGGUUGUAAAGCUCUGUCUUCAGGGACGAUAAUGACGGUACCUGAGGAGGAAGCCACGGCUAACUACGUGCCAGCCGCCGCCGUAACAC